GAUGAAGAACGUAGCGAAAUGCGAUAAGUAGGGUGAAUUGCAGAAUUCCGUGAAUCAUCGAAUCUUUGAACGCACAUUGCGCCUUCUGGUAUUCCGGAAGGCAUGCCUGUUCGAGAGUCAUUAACAACCGUUUCGAUCCCUUUCUUUCAGAAAUUACAAAGAGGAAAAGGGUUUGGUUAUGGUGGAGGAGGGAAAGGGAGCGUUUAGCCUGUAAAAAAAGAGGCUGUGUUCCGCCUCCCCCCCAAAAUUGUACAGGCGGUCGUGUGCGCCCACGCAUCGAGGUGUUGUAAAAGCUGCCACGGCACUUUUCACCUGUGCAGUGCGAGAUUGGCCAGCCGGUUUAAAAACCCCUCCAAACAAUCAAAGGUUGACCUCGGAUCAGGUAGGGAUACCCGCUGAACUUAAGCAUAUCAAUAAGCGGAGGA
rnacentral:misc_RNA from 1 species